CUGCACUUGUGCACACGUUCACUGCGUUCGCGACGGACAGUUGGAAUUCGUUGUCGCUGCGUUGCGGAUGCUCAAAUCGGAUGUGCAAGCUACCAAUUUUCGCAUAUGCCACAUACAAAUGUGUGUGUGUGCGUGUAGGCAAACGGGCGUAUUGGUAACGGUUAUUGUGCUAAUUUCGUACGGAAUUUUAUUUUAAAUGCGAAAAUUUACACAUUUGUGUUAAAAUCGUACGGAACUUAGGAAUUGCAAAAAAAUUUUGACGAAUAUUUAAAUUUUAGAGGUGUGUGCGAAAUAUUACGAGUGUGUGUCGGCAUACGUGCUGUAUUUCCAGCCGUGCUAGGCAGAAGUCGGAAAUUAGGCGUGAACAGUUAUUCCUGUCACAAGGCAAUUUUAGCAGCCUGACUGGCUGGCUAAUAUUCUGGUCAGCGAUUUGCUCAGCUGUUGUUGAUUUUUAAAGUGAUUUGCUACUGUGCUUGCGAUUUAAAAAAAUUUUUGAAAUAAAAAUUCAUGUGUGGAGUAUUUUUCGAAAUGCUGAGUGAAAAAAAUUUAAUUUUUGAAAACACAAAUAUAUGUUUAUAAUGCUUAUUGUAUAUGAAUAUCAAAAUCAGCAAUUCUAAUUCGCGCUAUAAUUGACGAAAAACAAAUUUUUUCUACAACAACGAAAGCAAAUUAAAGCAAAAGGAAAUAAAUAAAAAAUAUAAUUUCUCUACCAAAACAACACUCAUAAAAGGAAAGAAAAAAAUAUUUUACGCUAAAUCAUAAAUUUUAAUUCGCGUUAUAAUUAGGCAAAUCAUUUAUCUCUACGAAAACAUAAACAUAAUUUAAAAUUUUUUUUAAAUAUAUAUAAUAUACAUAAUAUUAUACAAAGAAAAUUUUUUAAUAUUUUUUUUUUGCUUAUUAAACACCUUACCUUUAUGGUGAGAACACUAAACGCAAAAAAACAAUUAACAAAAGCAACAACAAAGUAUGUUUUUUUUUUUGUUGCAAUUUUCCUACACAUUUAAUCCAUUAAGUGUUGCAAAUCGCACACAAGCGUGAGCAACCUACCCCAAGCUAUUGAGGUGACGCUCAGGCAAACGCAAUAAAACAAAGUUAAUAAGCUCAGCACGCCAUUUAAAAGCAGAAUACAGGCAAAAAAUCGCAACAAAAGCAAAAAUAAUAAAGAACCGAAAAAAUUACAAAAAAAAACAGCAAAAACCAACAAAAACAAAGAAAAGCGCAACACUAAGCGGCUUUGCCACACGGCGGAAAUAGCACCAUAGUGCUCAUAUAGACCUAUAGUCAACAGUUUAAGAAGACUACUUGGUAUAACUAAUUGAUCACCUCUUCAUUAACAUCGCUUGAAACUGUAGAGAUCAAAGCGAACUAAAUAACUGUACUGUAAAUAAAGAUCAAACAGCUCACCAACGAAGCUGGCAGUCGUGCAGUAGCGAUCGUUAACGCCACCACCUCCAAACGCCAUCGCCACCACCUCAUGGCUAGCAUCCGCUGCAGCAGCAAGAUACAGAGUGACGAGUGUACAGCGUUCGGCAAAUGUCGUUGGCGUCGUGAUAGUCAGUGUAAUCGGCGAGAGUAAUCGUGUGCACGUCGGUGUCUCCAAUGCGCUGCGCAACGUCGUCGUCGUCAAGUUUGCUCAAGCAGUUCGUGUCUGUGUAUUGUUUUUGUUUGCUCAAGCACUUUGCAACCAACUACAGACAUUGUUUUUGUUAAUUUUCGACUUUUGGCACAUUGGCGGCUGCCGCUGCCUUCGUCAUUUCUGCUGCUGCUUGCUCCAAUCGCCGGUGGAGAACUGAACCGAGCAACUGAAUUUUUCGGCUGACUUUGUCAACAGGCAUGGCGCUCCGACAGCGCUAGUACGAAUUCAUCUACCGACGCGCGUUGUCCGUUAUAGCGGUUGUGCGGCAUUUUGUUGCGUGUGUUGGUACAUAGUCAUGGUGUAGGCGAGCAAACGUAAUUUCUUAUACGUACAAGUACUUUUCUUCGCCUGCGAACCGCAGGAAUACGCAGGAGGUUUAAAAUUUUGUGUCGCGCAUGCGUUAAGAAAAAAAGUGAAUAUUGUGAAUUGCAAGUAAAAAUAUGCGUGUAAAUGGAAUGCAAAAAAGCUACCGAUUAACGUUGCUUGGGUUUCGUGCCCUACUGUCCGGGGUGUCAUCAGUGAUUUGAGUGUAACUUUGACCAAAAGAAAAGAUUGCAAAAAUCAGCGAAAAGAUACGAACUUGUUGGGCGAACUUAAUGAGCGCUCUUAUAAAUGUAUGUAAUGUAAAGUGAAUUUUGUGUAGCACAAAGCAAUAAAUUUAUCAAAAUUCCCAGAAAAAAAUUUUUUUUGCGAAAGAUCAAAACGAAUUCGUAACGAGCAGAAUUACAUAACGAAAAGCACAUAUGAAUGUAUGUGUGUCAAUAAAAAAUAUAAUAUAACUGACGAAAAAUUUAAGUAAUUACGAAAUUUACGAGUGAAUUUAAGUAAAAAUUGUUUGAAAAAAUAUUAUAAUUAAUUUAAAAAAUAUUUAAAAAGGUAUUGUAACUAAAUUAAAUUAAAAAAAAAAAAAUUUUGUACACAAAA